CAUGGGAAAGACCUUGGCAGUUGGGGCUCCGAUAUUGACAGUUGUAACUGUGAUGUGCUGGGCUUGGGGCUCUACUGGUGAGUCUAGUUCCUGAGAUAAGAGGCCCUUGGUCUCUUUCUCCUGGGCAGCGUUCUGAGCUUCCUUAGCUGUGGCAAUGCCUACUCUGGCACAGAGAGAAAAUGCAAUGUUUGCUAGUGAGGAGAACGAGGCAGCAGCGAGAGAGCUUUGCACUUGAAGUCAUUUUGUGAAUCUUUUGAUUUUGAAUCACAUUAAUUCAGCCAACCUUUUAGAGGGUGCCUAUCAACACUGUGUCCCACUGACUGCCACAGCCACCGACUUCGAGGGGAGAGAGUCCUCCUGGAUGCCACAGGAGAAGAGGUGGCAGGCUGUACUCCUCUAUGAGACUCAGGCUAUCCUGGCUGAGAAGUCCAGAUUUUAUGAUUGUCCCUACUCUGUGGACACACAUGCACGUGACGCGGCUACACUUCUGGAGACUUGGAUCUGAGAAGAGCCAUCCUGUAUCGGUCUCUUUAUGUGACAAGGCUGACCCAGACUGGCAUUCAGAGUGCUUUAGCUUAACGGUUCUACAGCAGAAACGCCUGUCAAAAUGUCUUAGCAACAGAGUUGCUAGAGACCAAUACCAGUUUUGAGCUCUGCUGGGUAUCAGGUGUGAAUUUUGGCUCCAUUAGGACAAGGUAGAGCUUUUUGACUUCCCCCCUUCUGUUUAUCAUCAGUGUCUCUCCCGAAUGAUGACAGUGGUUUCUGAGCACCUAGUAAGCAUGAGGGCUGAGCAUCUCAUUUUACAAAUGGGCCAACUGAAGUACCAAGAUGACAUUCCUUGUGCACUGGGGAUCAUGGAGCUCAGGACUUCAGUGGUUAUGACCAGAGUGCUGUAUAUAACAUGUGGGUUGUUAUCUCCUAAGGGCUAGCCUGUGCUUUGUACAACACAUGGGUUGUUAUCCCCCAAGGGCUAGCCUGUGCUUUGGUGUAGUCCCUUGGCUGUAUACAGUAACCUACACCCUUCCCCCCCACCCCCCACGGCUCUGUAGAUUCCCAAGAACUGUAUGGCUGUGUCAGUUCUUCCUGAACUCUAUUGGGCAUGGACGUUCACAGUUCAAAUACCAGGCACAAGUUCUCUAAGAAUUGGGUCGGCACUUUGCUACCUCUCUUGACAGUUUCUCUCUUGGCAGCAUGCCUUCUUCUGACUUGGUCCACAGACCCAGAUCCCCUUUGGUUUUCAGAUAUUUCACAAACUCCACUGCUUCAUAAGAUUCCUAGUUGCAGAGUUUUGUGGGACUUGUCAACUUUGUUGAGCAAUGGAGGCAGCACAGCAAAUCUUAAGCUUGAAGAUGUACUCGCAGUACUGAGGUGUAGGGCUCAGAGAGUGCUUCUGGUACAGUGAAGUGUCCUCAGCCAGCUGAGCCUUUCUAAUGAGCCAUGGGAUUGCUGCUGCUGAGAUCCAUGCCCACGGCUACCCAAGGCCAAUGCUUUUCCUCUUUUCCGAUCAUCAAGAAUAGGAAAGAAUCGGAUCAGUCUCAAAAGGGAAGGUUCUGGUGCUGCACCAAACCAGGGGUCCCAGGUUAAUGGGUUCAAUG